rnacentral:rRNA from 1 species
ACUACAUGAAGCUGGAAUCGCUAGUAAUCGCGAAUCAGAAUGUCGCGGUGAAUACGUUCCCGGGUCUUGUACACACCGCCCGUCACACCAUGGGAGUUGGUAACGCCCGAAGUCAGUGACCCAACCUUAGGGAGGGAGCUGCCGAAGGCGGGACUGAUAACUGGGGUGAAGUCGUAACAAGGUAUC